UUCAUUAUAGAUAGAGAUAAUUGUAAGCAGCAGAGAUGUUCAGUAAAGUAAGAUGUACAAACACAUCACCAUCACCAAAACACAAUUUUGUCAUGAAUCCAUCUGCUUCCUUUGUUUAAUAUUCACAUAGACAAAGGUGAGCGACACAGGCUCUUUAGAGCCUCUAGUUAAGAACAUGUCCAAGAAAAUGAUAGCAAUCCUAGGAUCUCAAUAUCUGGCAUCUUAAUACAUCUAAGAGAGAUAUUUUCUGGUCAAAUACUACUUUAUUACACUAUCUUAUAGAGGAUAAUUCCUCUAAAACAGUUGUUAGUUAUUAUUUUAGUCUGCUUUUGACUGUACUAUGUGCAUGAUGUGAAUACAGUGCUCAACAGUUUCCAAAAGUAGACCUCAUUAUCAAUAUGUGCCAUUCACCCUUCACUGAAAUGCAAAUGUUUGAAUAUAAUUGACACCUGUGGAUAGUUAUUUCAGGUUAAGAAUGGAUCUCUGGAGUUGGCAGUGAUAUUCUUUUAUCCAUUGUUGCUGGAACUAUGUGAUAACUCCCGAUUUAAAGAUGGUGCAAAAUUCUGAGCUGAAAUUAUCUGUAUUUAUUAAAUGCUUGUGCUACAGUUAUUUAAUAAAAU
rnacentral:lncRNA from 1 species